UACGAAGGGUGCAAGCGUUAAUCGGAAUUACUGGGCGUAAAGGGUGCGUAGGCGGUUAGUUAAGUCUGUUGUGAAAUCCCCGGGCUCAACCUGGGAAUGGCGAUGGAUACUGGCGAGCUAGAGUGUGUCAGAGGAUGGUGGAAUUCCCGGUGUAGCGGUGAAAUGCGUAGAUAUCUGGAGGAACACCGGUGGCGAAGGCGGCAUCCUGGACCGACAUUGACGCUGAGGCGCGAAAGCCAGGGGAGCAAACGGG
rnacentral:rRNA from 1 species